rnacentral:lncRNA from 1 species
UGGGUUUUAAGUUGUGCUAGAAGAGUUUAAUGACAGACAGUACUUUAGAGCUUCCAGCUCAUAAUUCAUUCACAGUGGCUUAAUUGUAUUUCUAACUAUGAAGUAACAAAGAUAAACAAUUUGGCAACUUAACAACCUGAAGCACACGAAUGUCUUUGAUCAGCAGAUUGCUGUCUGUUUUGAUCGGCAGAUUGCUGUCUGUUCAGUUGUGCUCCAGCAGUCUUCACAGCGUCCAGCAGCAACUCAGCAGCAACUAGUAGAUCCAAAGCCCCAGCUCCAGUCGUACAAUCUCCCUCUUGAUUUCCUGUGAGCCUGGUCGUGAUUUCUUGUCCCGUCGAUUAAGCGCACUCCUCACGAGCAGUUGCAGCUUCUAUUUAUUUCCAUUCGAUUCAUCUGCUAGCGAGGAUGUCGAGUGGCGAAGCUUCCUUCUUUCCUUCUUUCCUUCUCUGUAGACCGUACUUCUUGGUUGUAAGAACCACGCUACUCCGAUUGCUGCUAGCUUCCCGCGAUGUAUCGAUGAUUUCG